GUGCUCUCUUAGGCAGCACAUAUACUAAAACUGGAACGAUACAGAGAUGAUGACCAUGGCCCCCGCGCAAAGAGCGACUCCCAAUUCAAACACUGACCUUCUGCUC